AUAAUAUUAUAUUUAAAAUACGGUUUGAUCAAAAUUGCUACUCCACCGUGCUCAUUUUGGGCAUUAUGAUAGUGGGAAUUAUAUCCCGAAAUUUUAAGAUGCUGAGUAUCUUUCAGCCAAGUUUCAUUGAGUAGACAGAUAUCAACAUUUUGCUCAACUAAAAAUUUAGACAAUAAGGGUUUUUUACUAUAUAUACUUUGAAUAUUGUACUGAGCUAUACAUAACUGCUGAAUGUUCUGUACUGCACUGUCCAUUAAUGUGACAGAUUUUUUAAAAGUAAGUCUUUAAUGAGCAGUGUAGUCACAGGUUCAUUAUCUGUUUUAUUACCCAAUUCCACUAAAGUUUGGACCAUUGCCAUCAGAAUAUUAUUAUUGUUUGCAAUUUGAGCCUUAAGUUGAGUUUGGUUCAAGUUGGGUUCAGGCACUGUUUUAUUUACACUAUUUACAAUUUUUACAUUUUUAUUUGAUUUAUGUAUAUUUUGGCUUAUUGAUGGUAGGGUCUUAACAAUGCUGCUCGACUGUGCAGGUAAAGACGGAAAAUCAGUUGACGUAAGUGUAUUAGCCACAGAGGCAUAAGUAAUUUUACCCUUUUUUUCAAGUAUUUUUUUCAUUUUUAUUGGGCAAGAUUUGGAAAUAGCCAGGUGAGGGCCACUGCAAUUGACACAACACAGGAUGGUUGAACUUGAAGCACCGGAAGCAUUGCUGCAACGGCGGGACAUAUUCAAACACCCUGAACGAAAAUAGGUCAUAUUGGAUGUUGUCAGG